rnacentral:rRNA from 1 species
GGACUUGCCANUGGGGGAACCCUGAUGCAGCGACGCCGCGUGAGCGAUGAAGCCCUUCGGGGUGUAAAGCUCUUUCGGCAGGGAAGAUAAUGACGGUACCUGCAGAAGCAGCUGCGGCUAACUACGUGCCAGCAGCCGCGGUAAUACGUAGGCAGCAAGCGUUGUUCGGAGUUACUGGGCGUAAAGGGUGCGUAGGCGGCUAUUUAAGUUUGGUGUGAAAUCUCCCGGCUCAACUGGGAGGGUGCGCCGAAUACUGAGUGGCUAGAGUACGGGAGAGGAAAGUGGAAUUCCUGGUGUAGCGGUGAAAUGCGUAGAUAUCAGGAGGAACACCGGUGGCGUAAACGGCUUUCUGGACCGUAACUGACGCUGAGGCACGAAAGCGUGGGUAGCAAACAGGAUUAGAUACCCUGGUAGUCCACGCCCUAAACGAUGCAUAUUUGGUGUGGGCCAUUCAUUUGGUCUGUGCCGGAGCUAACGCGUUAAAUAUGCCGCCUGGGGAGUACAGUCGCAAGGCUGAAACUCAAAAAAAUUGACGGA